GCUGUGGUGGUUCACACAUAUAAUCACUAAUACUAGGGAGGCUGAGGCUGGUGGAUGGCUUGAGUUUAGGAGUUCUAACCUGCAGUGGGUUAAGUUGACUGUUAUCUACAAUAAAUCUGGCAUAAAUAUGGUGAGCCCCUGGAAGUGCAUGUGUGGGAGCACCAGAAUUGCCUAAAGAAGGAACAAACCAGCCCAGGGUGGAAAUGCAGUAAGUCUGAGCUUCCAUGCUGAUUAGUGGUGGGAUCAGACCUCUAAGUGGCUGCUGGACUUCUAGCCUGGGCUAGAGAGGAAAAACCAGUCUUAA
rnacentral:SRP_RNA from 1 species